GCUGGAUUGUUCCAUCGAUCAAAUCUCAGGAAGUAGCUCCCGACGAGCAAGACAGGAUGAGACUGAUAAAACUGACGAUGGAGAUGAAACAGGUGGAGAGGUAAGACCACUAGAAAGCAACAUGCUGCCAGACCACCGAAGGACCCUAGAGGACACUGCAUGCUGUGACAAGGGCCUGGAUGGUGACACACACCUGCUUCAAGCUGCCUGCCUGAAUACUGAGGCCUUCAGUGGUACCUUCCCUUUGAUUACAGCAAGAGUCUCCUUACUUCUGACUCGUAGACAUUUAACAUGUACUGUAUGUAACCACUCAAAGUCAUAGAAACUACUACGAACACAAGAACUGACUUAUACUGAACAAAACUGUAAAUGCAACAUGUAACAAUUUCAAAGAUUUUACUGAGUUACAGUUCAUAUGAGGAA